rnacentral:lncRNA from 10 species
AGUGCUUUACUUGCAACUAUGUGGUCAAUUUUGGAGUAAGUGUGGUGUGGUGCUCAGAAGAAUGUAUAUUCUGUUGAUUUGGGGUAGAGAGUUCUGUAGAUGUCUAUUAGUCAGAGCUGAGUUCAAUUCCUGGAUAUUAUAAAUAUAUGGAUUACUUUUCUGCCUUUUGUUCUCCCAUGUUAGGAUGGACAGACUCUUAGAGAGGAGCAUAACCAUGCAUUAGAAUAAAGCCCAAAUCCAUUAACAAUUUAAAACAAGUAUUUAUUCUUAAUUAAAGAUAGAGAUAACUUUGUUUUAAGAAAAUUGAUUCUCAUGCUUAGCUCAAGUCUAACAGGAAAAAAAUAGAUGCUUCAUGUUAUUCUGGGAAGGAAGUAUGCCCUGAAAGUUGCGACUGAAUGGC